rnacentral:rRNA from 1 species
AUUGAACGCUGGCGGCAGGCCUAACACAUGCAAGUCGAACGGUAACAGGAAACAGCUUGCUGUUUCGCUGACGAGUGGCGGACGGGUGAGUAAUGUCAGGGAAACUGCCUGAUGGAGGGGGAUAACUACUGGAAACGGUAGCUAAUACCGCAUAACGUCGCAAGACCAAAGAGGGGGACCUUCGGGCCUCUUGCCAUCGGAUGUGCCCAGAUGGGAUUAGCUAGUAGGUGGGGUAACGGCUCACCUAGGCGACGAUCCCUAGCUGGUCUGAGAGGAUGACCAGCCACACUGGAACUGAGACACGGUCCAGACUCCUACGGGAGGCAGCAGUGGGGAAUAUUGCACAAUGGGCGCAAGCCUGAUGCAGCCAUGCCGCGUGUAUGAAGAAGGCCUUCGGGUUGUAAAGUACUUUCAGCGGGGAUGAAGGGAGUAAAGUUAAUACCUUUGCUCAUUGACGUUACCCGCAGAAGAAGCACCGGCUAACUCCGUG